GAGUUUGAUCAUGGCUCAGGAUGAACGCUAGCGGCAGGCUUAACACAUGCAAGUCGAGGGGUAUAUGGUGCUUGCACCAUAGAGACCGGCGCACGGGUGCGUAACGCGUAUGCAACCUACCCUGAACAGGGGGAUAGCCCAGAGAAAUUUGGAUUAAUACCCCAUGGUAUAUUUAAAUGGCAUCAUUUGAUUAUUAAAGUUCCAACGGUUCAGGAUGGGCAUGCGUCCCAUUAGCUAGUUGGUAAGGUAACGGCUUACCAAGGCGACGAUGGGUAGGGGUCCUGAGAGGGAGAUCCCCCACACUGGUACUGAGACACGGACCAGACUCCUACGGGAGCAGCAGUGAGGAAUAUUGGUCAAUGGGCGCAAGCCUGAACCAGCCAUGCCGCGUGCAGGAUGACGGCCCUAUGGGUUGUAAACUGCUUUUGUACGGGAAGAACACCGGUUCGUGAACCGGCUUGACGGUACCGUAAGAAUAAGGAUCGGCUAACUCCGUGCCAGCAGCCGCCGCUGUAAU
rnacentral:rRNA from 1 species